rnacentral:misc_RNA from 1 species
UUGGUUUGAUACGGGUGGUCGGCUCCCUGCUUGAGCAGGCACGGCCACGCGUGCAUUCCUUUUCAGAUGUGCGGCAAGGCUUGUAUGGUCUUGAUCGUAUAAGUGGGUUUCCUGUGUUGAAUACCUGAUCAACGGCAUCGUUUAGAUCAAAAGCGUACCUUUUUCGUCUAGUGUUGCACCCGCACCAUUGGAUGAACCGUGUAGCAUUCUCUUUGAUCCAUACAAUUGACAUUCAUUGUUAGUUGUUUGGCCCAUUGAGCGUGUCUUGGUCCCUUGAAUAUGGAAGCCAAAGUGGGCACGGGAUCGCAAGAUCCGUUUAGUGCCCUAAUUGAGCGUUUUCGCUUCUCUUACACGACUGCCUCUCACGUAUGGCACGUCCCAGCGUGUUUGGCUAUGUCGAAGAGGAAUGU